UGGAUCCUUGCGGUGUCAGUCCUGACCGUCACGACUGAAACACGUCCCUUUCUGUCUCUGACUGACCGUGGCAGGGGACUGUUCGGCAGUGCGGGGCAGUGAGAAAUGCUCGCAGAGCCUGUGCAAAGAAGAAAUCUUACCAGCGUUGCUGAAAUUAUCCCAGGAAGACACUUUGCAGGUUGAUUCGGCGUCACAAGCUGCUCCAGACAGGGUAGUGACAAAUACAUUAACAACGUCGAAAGUAGCCUACUUUAAGAGAAAAUAUGCAGAAGAAGAACAUUUACAUCAAGAUUACCAUGAGUACUAUCCAAAACACCUGAUAUUACCCGAGGACCGGACUUGCAUCCUAAAACUAUCUCUGCAGAAGCUUCGAUUCCUUGAGGAUCCCGAAACGUACCUGCGCAGGUCUGUGCUAAUUAACAAUUUGUUGAGGAAGAUCCACUUAGAGACCGAGAGGGAGAGCUAUGAAUACUUUAAGGAGGCACCUUGCUGUCGGACGGCUUACUCUGAUGCACGAAAACGGCUGAAGUUUAUGGUACAGGAAUGCUGUUCUCCGUCACUCUAUUAUGAAGAGCUGCAUUCAUAUCAUAUUGUGCCUUAUUCGCCAGAGAACGCCAUUUAUGGAAUGGGCUAUACAAGCAGCCACUUGGAGCAAAAUUCUCAACUGCUUAUUUAUAAAAUGAAUUAAAGUAGCUGUUAGAUCCACUGAUGUUUUGUUUCUGAAUGUGUGAACUGCUUAUUAACAUGCUCAGAUGAGGCACUAAUUGCAAACACGCUUGUGAUCAAAGAUGGGACGCACGCAGAGCUGAACGGAGGCCACUUUGAGUUAGACUCUCCAGCGAUCGGUGUGAAGCCCUUGAUUAUAAAGCCCCUUCACACGCAGGCAGGCAGCUGGUGCAAUGCAAAGGUUUUUGUAAGCAGAGACCUUAUCUGCAACGUGUAUUAUAGAAACGGAGCUCCGGUUAAGUUGUCAGUGUGUAGAUACAGACAUUUGAAUCACUUUGCAUUUAAAUGGUGCCAUCCCAGGUGGAAGGUAAAGCUGAAAGGGGCAGAUGAGCCUGACAGGGAGGAGUGAUGGGAAGAGCUAUUUAUGGGAAGGGGUGAGGAGGUGAGGUUUUUCUUUGAAGGAAUCGGUGCCAAAGGAAAGGCCCUUUCAGUUCAGAUCUUGCAGAGGAGUGACGUGACUCAACUGCUACUUAAAGAAGCUCUGCAAUGAGGUUGGUGAGGGCUUGGGGGGGGUUAUAACUGAUCCUCCAAAUGGCGCUCGCAUUUGCUUGCUUGCUUUCUCAGUUGGCACUGAGUUUGCUAUUUUACAGUAAAGCUCAGCCGCUCGGACGAAAGACGCUUUCCUCAUCCAAGUUGUCAGUGUUUUCUAAAUGUGAUCUGCCUCCCCUUCUUCUGGUGGUCUGCCUCCAACUCAGCUAUGAUUUGUGCGCGACAUCACUAUGUGGCCAUGCGGCUUGGGGUGUGAUCAGUGUUAGUGCCAAGAUAGUUUGAGUUGCCUUUUUUUUAAGGUUAUAUGAUUUUAUUUUUUUUAUAUUUAUUUUUUGGUGGGGGGGAAGCCUACAUUGGAAAAUAAAUAUAGUGGACAGAUGUUAAUAAAACCUAAGAGGUCUUUGAUGCAAGGUGAGCCUACUCUACAUUUGUAAUAGCAUUUGAGGUCGAGUGAGAAGUCUGGUUUUAGGGUUUUUUUGGAACUACCUUUAUCUCUAUAUAAUCUCACAAGCACGUUCAUGGAGAGACAUUUAGCAAAUCGAUCACUAGUACAAGGAAGUUUUAUAGCUGCUCAAACGAUGUUCUAAAAAUACCGAAGAGGAGAAAAUGAUGCUAAAGUAAAUGGAGUCAAAAGCAGGGAUUAUAUACUAUGCCCCGAGACAAUGUUAUUAAUGAGCCAGUAAAUGACACCAUUACCAAUAUAUCCGUCAUUCAUUCAAGAAUGAUGUGCAACAUAGACGUGCUGAACAAAUAUGGUGCCUGAUCCAAAGCCCAUAGAAAUCAGUGACCUAUUGGCUUACAGUGAAAGAACCAACUUUGCAUGGCGGCUUAUGAUCACAGAUGAUGAUACCGUAAGACGCUCUCAUGCUGGAGAUGUAUUGACACCUCCCAAUUUUGUCUGAAAGCCUUUUCGUAUGCAAAUUUGACGGAUGCCAUUUUUGAAGCAUUGUACAGUAUGAACAAAUUGUUUUAAAAAAUGCUUGCUACAGCUGUGCUUAGUAUAAAACCAAGCCUCCUCCUGUAACCCUACUCUAAGAUGCCUUGUUCUUCUAAAUUGCACACGCAGUGGCUGCUGUUGGGUCUGCAUUGACAGUACAGUAAAAAGCAGGGAAGAGCUGAACGUGCAAGCAGCAAAGUGAGUAGAAGGUGACAGGUCACUAGAUGCCUCUGUUGGCUUUGGAAACAGGAAGAGAAAAAGAGCUAGGAGCGUUGAGAGGUUUUAAUCACAUUUCUCAAAGACCUAAAUUAAAAUAUAUAUAUUAUUCCCCAAUUUAAAGCCUACCGCUCUGUGAAAUAUUGUUUUGCUAACUCGCAUAGUGAGAGCUUAGUCGAUAUGCAGAAAGGGGACACUACUGUUUCUAAAGUGAACUUAGUAACUGCAAAUUCUUAGUCUGGCAGAAGCUACCUUCAUUUUUCUUGGAGGCCAAAUUUCUCUAUUUGCUUCUGAGGCGGAGUCCUGUUAUUUGCAGACUAUAUCCCAAAUCCAGUGAAAAUCAGCAUAGCUCCAUGGAGGGUAGCUCCUUGGCCUUCUGUUGGUCCCACUCCCGUGGCUUUCACUGGAGUUAGCCAGCCAAAAAACUGGUCCAAACUUUGCAACAUCAGCUCGUCACAUGUAAACCAAGGUGUUUUGAAAAGCCAGCCAGUAAGAGCUGCCACAUCUCUCUGAACAAGAGAAAUUGAAAAAGGGCCAGGCUAAUUUGGAGAGAGGACUGCCGUUAUCUUAUGUGCAUAACAGCCUUAAUACUCCAGGCAAAAACUGAGAGUGAAGCACUUCUGCUGUCGAAUUUGUGGGCUGAGUUGUAUGAGCAGCACUGUUAAAAGGGCCAUCAUCGCUCAGAGCCAGAGAGCUCUCUUAUCUCUGGUACAUCACAUAGCAUCUAUGCACUGAGAGGUUGGGCAGGGGCGUUAGAGGACUCCCUCAUAUUGGUAUGUGUCAAUGGGAAAUUAUCACAGCCUUCUGGUUUUUCAAAAUAUGUAAUUUUCUGCUCUAAGGUACUGGCAUUUAUGCACUUUUUUUCUUUGUGUCCAUUUUCAGUUGAAUUCAUAAUGAUCAAAUUACUGUACGGCAUGCUAAGUAACCUUUUCCUCAGUCAUUGAUGAUGACACCCACUUUAUUAUAUGUGCACUAUAAUUCUGCUCUGAAUGACAAGACUCAUUACACUUCACAGAUAAUUAAUCAAGCUGGAUUUAGCUUUUGACCUUUGUUAGGACAAUUAUGGUUGCUGAAGUUUAUCUUUUGAAAGCUCAUUUCCUUGUCUAAGGAGAGAAAUGAUUGCUUUGUUAACUGUCAGAAACUUAGUUGAGAUGAUGCCUCAUGAGAUGUUGUCACUGAAAGCACCUUAUUGAAAGGCUGGCACGGAAAAUAUUCUGGACGGGUCUCAGGUAACUAACUGCUUGAAAUUUUCAUAGAUCAAAGGUUUGGUUUUCCCAGGUCAGACACAAGAUGGGAUUUUCAUCAAAGGUUUGUCCCUUUCCCCCUUUUUUCCUCAACCAAAAUUUAAUAGUUUAGUGAAAAUAAUAUUGCUGAAAUGCAGAGGAGCAGCAAGUAGUGUUGCCACCGCUCCCCUGAUGCCAAAUUUCCAGACCCAUAGGGAAGCCAAAUGACUUGGCUCUAGGGACUGGGUCGGGCCUGCAGGCUGGAGCCUAAACACGGCUGAUCUCGUGAUAAUUCAAUAUUCAGUUACGAAGCCACCAUUUACUACUAUAAUACAGACACAUAAAGUAAUGUUUGUUUGAUGACACCUUUCAGGACAUAUAGUUUAACUUCCGUACAAAGUUUCUGGCAUUUGUUGAGUGAGCCCCCCUCGCUAGACUGUAGUAAUUAAAAAAAAGAGUCCUUAGAUGAUUUUAGAGCUACAAUGUACCCAUACACGUGCAGGCUAUGUUUUUGCUGGGUGUAAAGAAAAUCCUUUCUUCACAACCAGUUAUCUUGGAGAAUUUUUCAGCAGAGCAUGUUACACCUCAGAGAGAAUAUGAAUUUAGAGCCUGACUGGGACAAAUUUGGUAAUGUCACUUGAUCAUCUUGAACACGACUGGCUUGUGAAGUACUAAUUUGCACCUCAGUUUUGUAUUUUAUAUAGAAACAUGCUUGGGUCGGUAAAAUGAAUGUGUAAAUUAUUUUAUGUUUUCCUUGUGCCGCUUUUCCUAAUUGGCCGUUAUACGUAGGGAUUGAUCUUGAAAAUAAUUACUAGCAGGUGUGUUGUGUGUUGCUCUGUUGUCUCAUUACAGCGCCUGAAAGGGCAAAUCUCGUGGCGUGUACAUGCACCACAAUGAAACUGCGCUUAGUCGUGUUUGUAGGAUCAAGCUCAUAUAGUUAUCAUCCUCCAGGGGCAGAGCAUGCAGUUAAAUGACAGGGAGCCUACAUGCUUCUAUAAGACACCUUGCAUUUGGAAAUCCUAUGGCGCUGAUCCUGUACACACCUCAAAUAUGCUCAAGUUUACUCACAUGUGUUGUCUCAUUAAGUCAAUGGAACUACUCAUGCUCUUAAAGUUAAGCAUGUGCAUAAGUAUAUGUAGGACUGGGCUGAUGUCCACAGUGGAACUCCUCCUGAAUUGCCUCAUUAUCUGUGAAAGUGAUUAUUGACCUGCUGCUUGAAUUCUUGACUUCCUAUAUCUGCCCUGUCAAUGGACCUUUUGUUUUCAAUGAAUGUGGUCAGCUGAGUGUAUGGAAUAUUGUGCCUUAAAGUCCCAUCGUCACACAAACCUUUGUAUAUGCUCUGUAAAUAUUCUGUAACCACAACAUAAUUGCUAACUUUGUGUAUUCUACAAAGAUUCAGUUUAAUACUUGAGAGUACCUUGAAAAAUACCCCAUCUUUUAAAUGUCACCUAAUAGCAAGACUUCCGAUUGGAACAAUCACAAACCAAGGUUUAAUGAUUCCCUGGUUUUUUUCCCAGUGAUAUCCUUCACAAUUCAUGAAAUUCCAAUUUUUCCUUUUUAUUUCCCCCCGAAUCUUUGAGUUCUGUUUUACCCACAACUUCAUGGUGUACACACAUCGCUUUCCAAGUGAAUCCAGUUAUAAAUCUGCAAAAAAAGUUGUCUUUCUCAUUCAGAGCCCAUAUAUACUAUCUCAGCAGGGAAUCACUUGCAUAUAAGAGCUGGUGCAGGCACUGUUAAUAUAUUGUCAUAUAUUUGAUAUUAAUAAUAAAGCAUCAAAAAUAAACAUCAUAUUUCUAUCGAAAUGCAUGAGCCUGCGUUACAUAAUGUUAAAUAUAUGGUGAUGAUCCAUCACUUAGAUAGUGUAAUACUUGUUCUAUAAUCAAAAAAUGUUUUUAAUGUUUCAAAUUACUGGAGACCCGACUAAAGGUUUUUAUGAGAUUGUUUUCUAAAGUGACUAGUAGAAAAAGAUUGUAUAUGUAUUUUAAAUAUCUAUAUAUAAUGUGCAUGUUUUGUUAAUAAAACUAUUUCU